ensembl:snRNA U6 U6 spliceosomal RNA
GUGCUCACGUUAGCAGCACAUAUACUGAAGUUGAGACACUACAGUGGAGAUCUGCAUGGCCCUUGCAUCAGGAUGACAGAUUUAUAAAGUCCAUAUUUUUUU